AUGCUAAGACUCCUCCCGCCCAUCCAGCUUGUCAGCCGGUCGACGCCAAACCUGAACACUGCGGUAAUCACUGCACUUAUGGCCCGGUGGAGGCCGUAGACGCACACUUUCCACCUCCGGACCGGAGAGAUGAUCGUGGCACUUCAGGAUGUUUCUAUGAUCCUUGCACUUCCUAUUGAGGGGAAGCCUUUGUCUAUGAGCAUAGAUUCUGACGGGUGGAGCCAGCAGAUGGAGGCACUUAUUGGUAUGGCUCCUGAGGAGGCUGAAGAUAAGACUAAAGACAGACUCCCAAUCGACGCUCCUUACACGUGGAUGCUAGCGAACUUUGUGCAUUGCCCCGUCGACGCUACUAAUGAUGUGAUCCAUACGUAUGCUCAUUGA
rnacentral:rRNA from 1 species